rnacentral:rRNA from 1 species
AAUCAACGCUGGCGGCGCGCCUAACACAUGCAAGUCGAACGAGAAAGCAGGAGCAAUCUUGUGAGUAAAGUGGCGUACGGGUGACUAACACGUGGAUUAUCUACCCUCUUGUGGGGGAUAACCCUGGGAAACCGGGGCUAAUACCGCAUAAGUCCGAGAGGAGAAAGCAGCAAUGCGCAGGAGGAGGAGUCCGCGGCCGAUUAGCUAGUUGGUAGGGUAAGAGCCUACCAAGGCAACGAUCGGUAGCCGGCCUGAGAGGGCACACGGCCACACUGGCACUGAAACAACGGGCCAGACUCCUACGGGAGGCAGCAGUGGGGAAUCUUGCACAAUAGGGGGCAACCCUGAUGCAGCGACGCCGCGUGAACGAUGAAGCCC